rnacentral:rRNA from 1 species
CCUACGGGAGGCAGCAGUGAGGAAUAUUGGUCAAUGGACGAGAGUCUGAACCAGCCAAGUAGCGUGAAGGAUGACUGCCCUAUGGGUUGUAAACUUCUUUUAUAUGGGAAUAAAAUGUUCCACGUGUGGGAUUUUGUAUGUACCAUAUGAAUAAGGCUCGGCUAACUCCGUGCCAGCAGCUGCGGUAAUACGGAGGAUCCGAGCGUUAUCCGGAUUUAUUGGGUUUAAAGGGAGCGUAGGUUGAUUGUUAAGUCAGUUGUGAAAGGUUGCGGCUCAACCGUAAAAUUGCAGUUGAAACUGGCAGUCUUGAGUACAGUAGAGGGGGGCGGAAUUCGUGGUGUAGCGGUGAAAUGCUGAGAUAUCACGAAGAACUCCGAUGGCGAAGGCAGCUCACUGGACUGCAACUGACACUGAGGCUCGAAAGUGUGGGUAUCAAACAGGAUUAGAUACCCGUGUAGUC